rnacentral:rRNA from 1 species
UACGUAGGGUGCAAGCGUUAAUCGGAAUUACUGGGCGUAAAGCGUGCGCAGGCGGUUCUGUAAGUCUGUCGUGAAAUCCCCGGGCUUAACCUGGGAAUUGCGAUGGAGACUGCAAGGCUAGAAUCUGGCAGAGGGGGGUAGAAUUCCACGUGUAGCAGUGAAAUGCGUAGAGAUGUGGAGGAACACCGAUGGCGAAGGCAGCCCCCUGGGUCAAAACUGACGCUCAUGCACGAAAGCGUGGGGAGCAAACAGG